rnacentral:tRNA from 1 species
GGGCCUAUGGUCUAGUGGCUAUGACAACUCCCUUACACGGAGUAGAUCCCCGGUUCGAACAGAUUUUUGCGAAAAAUCUGGUAAAAAGCGUUCAAGUGAGAUUUUCAAUCUCAUGAACCUUACGUUCAGUCGCAAAAUAACGAAAGUCCGGGUGGGCCCA